GCAUAUUUCCCUGACAAGUGAUGUGAGAGGUGACUGGAAGAGUUCGUUGACUGUGGAGAUGCCGAUGCAGGGAACCUCUUUCCUUCUUCUGCAGAGAUGAGCGACGAGGACAAGAAAUGUUGGAUUAACUCAGGGGUCUGUGGCUGUCCUUUGUUCUAAAGCUGGUUCAUGAAGAGUUAGAGAGAAACUAGACCAUCCAGGAAAAAAGAGCAAAACAGCGGAAUAUCCUCAGGGAAUCACCAGACUUUCCUCAGCUAGCUAUACAGGUAAGCAGUAAAUCAUGUUGAAAAUUAAUAAUUAGAUGCAUUCGCAGCUGUUUUUGCAAAACUGUUAUUCCAAAGUGCGGAGCCC
rnacentral:lncRNA from 1 species